CUAUGAAUCAUCAAAUUAAGGUCAUCACUCAAUUGUAUGGUUGCCAUCAUGAGCUGAUUGGCUAUUAUGACAAAAGUGUGUCAGAAAUCAUAUCUCAGUGAUAUUCUUCCUCAGUCAUAACAACCUUCCAUCAUUACCGAACUGAACAAACAAAUAACAUGAUGGGUGCCGUAUUCGGUACAGGAAAUGCUUACCUUUCCGGAGCACCUGAUUUCAUUCCUGGUUCUUAGUGGAGUUUGUGUUGUUUCUUACUUAUUAUUUGUAACUGUUGGUGCAAAUGUCUUUUGAUUUUAUGAGUUUUUGGUUACUCCUUGGUUUUGAUUGUUAUUGUCUUAUACACUAUACCUAAUGGAUGUAUUUACAUGAUAUAGAAUGAAAUUCAAAACAGUGUAGCUGUGGCCAUUGAUUGACACAUUAAAAUCAUCCAUUGACUGGGACAAUUUAGGUGAACGUUUGUAUGUAACGAC
rnacentral:lncRNA from 1 species